AGCAAUCAGAAUACAGACGUAAAUUAACUUACGCCCCGUUUGGAUCAUUGGAAUUGAAUUCCAUUCUAAUAAUAGUAAUUUAGGCAUAUAUCAAUUAAGCUAAUUCGGUUUUAUGCAAAAUAUAUUUGUAUAUUAUUAUUAGCAAGAUGUCGGAGAUAUUUAUAAGCUACAUUUUUACUAUAGAUGAGUGAGAUGAAGAGUGUCAUGUAAGUUACAGAGUAGAAACAAAUUCUACUAAUGCAUAAAAUUAUUUCUCAUCCUCCACCCUAUGAAUUUGAGAUAGGCUUAUAUAUGAACUUUGGAAAGUGGUGGAAUGUCAAAUUCUAAACUAAAUAAGUUACUUUAUCGAGUGAAUUCCAAUUCCUCUAAAAUGAAGGGAUCCAAACGUCCCGUUAGCAAAAAGAGCAGAUGCAAAUGCACCUUAGCAAUUGAAUUCACAUACCUGCAUUUUUUAACCUACCGGGUAUGAGAAAACAGUGAAUUCAUGACUACUGACAGGUAACAGCUAGUUAACAAAUUCUGAGUAUAAUAAGGUCCGGCAAAGUCUCAACCUACAUAUGCCAUUACAUUGUAUUAAAUCUAGGCAGAGCAGCCAUUGACAAGUACAGCAUGGUACUCAUUUGGUCGUGUAACCCUGCCUGAAGGGGUUUGAUUGACUAAACAAGUACCAGAUUCAUGUCAACCCUGCGACUCCCGUAAGCGAGCAAUCAGUUCAUCCUGCAAAAGCAAAAUGCAGUCACAUUUUCGAAUUGGUUCUAUGGUGAUAUAAUGGCUAUAUAAUGAAUAAUAUAAGCAUCAACAAAUUUAACUGACUUUUUUAUUCUGCUUCUAGGUUUUCUUAAUAGAAUAUUUGUCGCCCGCUAGUUCAUAUUUGAACUAAACCGUGACAAAUAAAAAAGAACGAAGGGAGUACAAAAUAUCUCCUUUUCUAAUAGCACAUCUGGUGGCGUUGAAUACUAAUAAAAAAAUUAAACCACCAACCAUAACCUGAUGGCACUAAUCAUAUAAACAAAAAUGUAAGAGCAUUGUUAACAACUUCAGCCCUAGAUCGGUUGCAUGGAGAUCGAAAGUGAUUGAGGGUUUGUUCGGUUAUGAGCAGAUUGAAGGGAAUUUGUGAGGAUUAAAUCCCUUGCUGGUCAAAUUUGAAUAGAAAGUGAUUUGAUCCCCCCAAUCUCCUUCGAUCCCCAUGCAACCUAACAAGGCCUGAGUGAGAGUAAAUCCCUUUCAAUUCAGUUUUCACUAUCGAUCCACU
rnacentral:lncRNA from 1 species